UCCCUGGUGGCUCAGACGGUAAAGCAUCUGCCUACCAUGCAGGAGACCUGGGUUCGAUUCCUGGUCGGGAAG